UACGAAGGGGGCUAGCGUUGUUCGGAUUUACUGGGCGUAAAGCGCACGUAGGCGGAUUGUUAAGUCAGGGGUGAAAUCCUGGAGCUCAACUCCAGAACUGCCUUUGAUACUGGCAAUCUCGAGUCCGGAAGAGGUGAGUGGAACUCCUAGUGUAGAGGUGGAAUUCGUAGAUAUUAGGAAGAACACCAGUGGCGAAGGCGGCUCACUGGUCCGGUACUGACGCUGAAGUGCGAAAGCGUGGGGAGCAAACAGG
rnacentral:rRNA from 1 species